rnacentral:rRNA from 1 species
UACGUAGGGUGCAAACGUUGCUCGGAAUUAUUGGGCGUAAAGCGCACGUAGGCGGCCUAGCAAGUCGGAUGUGAAAUCCCUCGGCUCAACCAAGGAAGUGCAUCCGAAACUGCUGUGCUUGAGUACGAAAGAGGAUCGCGGAAUUCCCGGUGUAGAGGUGAAAUUCGUAGAUAUCGGGAGGAACACCAGUGGCGAAGGCGGCGAUCUGGGUCGAUACUGACGCUGAGGUGCGAAAGCGUGGGGAGCAAACAGG